GAUGAACGCUGGCGGCGUGCCUAAUACAUGCAAGUCGAGCGAACAGAUGAGGAGCUUGCUCCUCUGACGUUAGCGGCGGACGGGUGAGUAACACGUGGAUAACCUACCUAUAAGACUGGGAUAACUUCGGGAAACCGGAGCUAAUACCGGAUAAUAUAUUGAACCGCAUGGUUCAAUAGUGAAAGACGGUUUUGCUGUCACUUAUAGAUGGAUCCGCGCCGCAUUAGCUAGUUGGUAAGGUAACGGCUUACCAAGGCAACGAUGCGUAGCCGACCUGAGAGGCGGAUCGGCCACACUGGGACUGAGACACGGUCCAGACUCCUACGGGAGGCAGCAGUAGGGAAUCUUCCGCAAUGGGCGAAAGCCUGACGGAGCAACGCCGCGUGAGUGAUGAAGGUCUUCGGAUCGUAAAACUCUGUUAUUAGGGAAGAACAAAUGUGUAAGUAACUAUGCACGUCUUGACGGUACCUAAUCAGAAAGCCACGGCUAACUACGUG
rnacentral:rRNA from 1 species